rnacentral:lncRNA from 1 species
CCUUUCUGUAAAUGCUGGACAGGACAAAAGAUUCACCAAGGACUCCAGGCAGGUGGCCUGGAAAAGAGGGUGGCGCUGGCAUGGGAGGGACGAAAACCCUUUGGGGACUGGCUGGGGCAAGUCUGGAGCCAGGGAAGGGACAGAUGCCUGGGCAGGUGGGGGCGGGGGUCGGGGGGCAGGCGGGAGAGUGGGGAGAAUCCCUGCUAGGGUGCGUCUGCAUCUGGAAAAGCAGCUCUGCCCCAGCAAGGCCUGGGGCAGCGGGAUCCUGGGGGCCUGGGGCAGGAUGGGUGGGGCUGGUGCUGAGGGCAUCUUCCUGUCUCCCAGUACCUGGGGCCAGGCAGGAGAAGGGAGCAUGGCUCUUUGGGGUGGCUGCAGCAGCCUGGCCCCUCCAGCGGCUGCACGGGAAAGAAGGAAAGCUCCGUAAGGCUGACCGGGAAAGAAGCGAGGAGCUCUGGGGGCUGGGUGGAAAGUCCCGUACUCAUCAGGGCCAGGGAGGCCACAGAAACUACCUCACGCCAGCUUCCCAGGGGUACAGCGGCUAGAAUGGACCUCGAGGAGGCCCCUCCCAAGACUCCCGUCUCCCGGGUUCCACCGCAGUGGGGGCAGCCACAGCUGCCUCUGCAAUGCUUGUAGGACCCACACACAGUGGGGCACGGAGGGGCAGAGGCCGCAGCCCCUUUGCCAUGAAUCCAAAGAACCUGGAGUGAUUCUGCAGAGACGUUCGAACCAGAGCGACUCCAUCUUGAACAGGGGCUGGGUAAAAUGAGGCCGAGACCGGCUGGGCCGCAUUCCCUGGAGGUCAGGCAUUCUUAGUCACAGGAUGAGAUCAGCACAAGAUACAGAUCACAAAGACCCCGCUGAUAAAACAGGAUGCCGUGAAGAAGCCGGCCCCAAACCACCAAAACCAAGACAGCCAGUCCUCACUGCUCAUUAUGUGCUGAUUAUAAUACAUUAGCAUGAGACACGCCCACCAGCACCAGGACCAUUUACAGUUGCCAUGGCAAUGCCGGGAAGUUACCCUAGAUGGUCUAAAAGGGGGAAGAACCCUCACUUCCGGGAAUUGCCUGCCCCUUUCCCGGAAAAGUCCGGAAUAAUCCACACCAUGUUUAGUACAUAUCAAGAAACAACAAUAAGUGUUCUCGUCGGAGUAGCCCAGGCCGCUGCUCAGCCUAUGGGGCAGCCCUUCUCUUAUUCCUUUACUUUCCUAUUAAACUUGCUUUCAGUUUACUCCGUGGACUCCCCCGAAUUCUUCCUUGUGUGGGGUCCAAGAACCCUCUCUCGGGGUCUGGAUCGGGACCUCCUUUUCCGAUGACAGUCCCUGGGACUUAGUAGCAGUUCAGCAGUGUUUGUUGAAUGAAUAAGCGAGAGACCUGGUUGGGGGGCACUUAGAAAGCAGAGGUUUUGCAACUUUUUAAAACUUUUUAUUUGUAUUUUUGAGACGGAGUCUCACUCUGUCACUCAGGCUGGAGUGCAGUGGUGUGAUCUCAGCUCACUUGGAACCACCAUCUGCCAGUUUCAAGUGAUUCUCCUGCCUCAGCCUCCCAAGUAGCUGGGAUUAUAGGCACCCACCGCCAUGACCGGCUAAUUUUUGUAUUUUUAGUAAAGACAGGGUUUCACCAUGUUGGCCAGGCUGGUCUCCUGACCUCAAGUGAUCCGCCUUCCACAGGUUCCCAAAAUGCUGGGAUUACAGGCGCCCACCACCAUGCCUG